CAUUCACAAACAGUAGCAUUUUAGCCGUUGUCUGCUUUGUCAUCUUUUCGACGGCGAAUACUGCUCACCACUUUGGUUGGAUGGGAAAUUAUAUGGACUUGUCGCCAAAUUAUAGCGGAUCCUUGAUGUCGAUAGGAAACAUGUUAACCAACAUUUUUGGCAUCGUCUUACCCAUAAUAACUUCCUUUGUUGUAACUGAUAUGAAAAACCGAUACCAGUGGCGCAUCUUAAUAUUAUUGAUGGCUGGUUGUUCUUUUGUUAGUAAUAUCAUCUUCGUUAUGUUCAUGUCAGCUGACAUUCAACCUUGGAAUAAAGGAGACGAAGAGAAAGAAGAGGACGUUGGCAAGAAAGCUUAAAAAAGAUCUCUAAGACGUAAAGCAAGAAACUUAUCGUACAGAAUCUGAAAAAGAUGUGAUGAAAUGUCAUUUCUCAACAAAUGAUUUUUUUUUCGGACUGUACACUCUCUACACCAGUUAUGUAUAUUAUAUAUAUUUAAGUAGAACUUUUAAUUAUAAUGUUAUUUAGUAAAUAAAGUAUUUUGUAAG